CGGGGGAGGCGGGAUCCUGGGCUGUGUCCCGGCGCCCUGUGCUCCGGAGCCUGCGCUGGUGGAUUCGCGCUCCCGAGUGUCCUGGGGACACUCG
rnacentral:pre_miRNA from 1 species